AGAGUUGAUCCUGGCUCNGAUUGACCGCUAGCUGAGGCUUAAUACAUGCACGUCGAGCGGUAUUGGUAGCAAUACCAUGAGAGCUGCGCACGGGUGAGUAACGCGUACACGACCUACCUCUAACAGGGGGAUAGCCCUGGGAAACUGGGAUUAAUACCGCAUAUAACUCUGAUUUUAACACGGUUGGAAUGAAAGUUCAGGCGGUUAGAGAUGGGUGUGCGUCUGAUUAGCUAGUUGGUAAGGUAACGGCUUACCAAGGCGAUGAUCAGUAGGGGGCGUGAGAGCGUGGACCCCCACACGGGUACUGAGACACGGACCCGACUCCUACGGGAGGCAGCAGUAAGGAAUAUUGGACAAUGGCCGCAAGGCUGAUCCAGCCAUCCAGAGUGCAGGAAGAAGGCCCUAUGGGUUGUAAACUGCUUUUGUCAGGGAAGAAACCUGUGGAUUUACUCCGCAACUGACGGUACCUGAAGAAUAAGCACCGGCUAACUCCGUGCCAGCAGCCGCGGUAAUACGGAGGGUGCGAGCGUUAUCCGGAAUUACUGGGUUUAAAGGGUGCGUAGGCGGCCCUGUAAGUCAGGAGUGAAAGUUUGCGGCUCAACCGUAAAAUUGCUUUUGAUACUGCGGGGCUAGAAUCAGGAUGAGGUCAGCGGAAUGUGGCAUGUAGCGGUGAAAUGCAUAGAUAUGCCAUAGAACACCAAUUGCGAAGGCAGCUGGCUAGACCUGUAUUGACGCUGAGGCACGAAAGCGUGGGGAGCGAACAGGAUUAGAUACCCUGGUAGUC
rnacentral:rRNA from 1 species